ACCUGCCUGACUCAGUUGUUAGAGUGUGAGACUUUUGAUCUUGGGGUUGUAGGUUUCAGUCCCAUGUUGGGUG
rnacentral:tRNA from 1 species